GGAUUAGAUACCCUGGUAGUCCACGCCGUAAACGAUGAGUGCUAAGUGUUGGAGGGUUUCCGCCCUUCAGUGCUGCAGCUAACGCAUUAAGCACUCCGCCUGGGGAGUACGACCGCAAGGUUGAAACUCAAAGGAAUUGACGGGGGCCCGCACAAGCGGUGGAGCAUGUGGUUUAAUUCGAAGCAACGCGAAGAACCUUACCAGGUCUUGACAUCCUUUGACCACUCUAGAGAUAGAGCUUCCCCUUCGGGGGCAAAGUGACAGGUGGUGCAUGGUUGUCGUCAGCUCGUGUCGUGAGAUGUUGGGUUAAGUCCCGCAACGAGCGCAACCCUUAUUGUUAGUUGCCAUCAUUCAGUUGGGCACUCUAGCAAGACUGCCGGUGACAAACCGGAGGAAGGUGGGGAUGACGUCAAAUCAUCAUGCCCCUUAUGACCUGGGCUACACACGUGCUACAAUGGGAAGUACAACGAGUUGCGAAGUCGCGAGGCUAAGCUAAUCUCUUAAAGCUUCUCUCAGUUCGGAUUGCAGGCUGCAACUCGCCUGCAUGAAGCCGGAAUCGCUAGUAAUCGCG
rnacentral:rRNA from 1 species